GUAACUUCAGUUAAUGGAUUAAUUUUAAAUAUCAUAUGUCUGUUCAACACAACCCCAGAAAAACUAUUUUUAAUUUUUUUAGCAAUCCUUGUAGUUAUAUUGACACUGGGAAGGGUCCCGGUGAUGCUGCAGGACCUGGCAACUUAAAGUGUUGGCCAGUUCUCUUCACAGCGUGGUGACAAAACAAUUAUUUUCUAGCUGGAGAAUCAAGGUGAUGCUGCAGGACCCGGCAACAUAAACUGGAGAAUCCAAACCCAAAAAUCAGACCCAACGCUGAGGAAAAAGGGGGCGAGCCGGGGGGCUGAGGCUUCACAACCUGGGGCUGCUGUUGGAAAAUUGACCCCAAGAUGAACCAAAACUUUCAAAAAUGUAAAACUCGUGACCAGGAUCCAUCUUGGAUUUGAUUUGGGUGCAGCCCCAGCCGGGCUCUUGCACUGCCCGAGGUGCGAGUCGAUGUGUUUGACCAGCGCAUCGUCCGGGUAGCCGAUGGGGAAAGCCAGCUGGCACAGCGGGCAGCUCCGCACCUCCGAGUCCGCCGUCUCCAGCAGCAGCUGCGCACGGGAGGGGCACAGAGCCGGGCUGAGACCCUGCCCACAGCGGGCACCCCCUCCCCAAAACCCUCUGGCUUGGGUUGAUGUGGAUAGAAAUGUGGAUUCUGUCACAUCUGUUAAACCGGGUGGGGCAGUGAUUCCUUGUCUCCUGGUACAAAUGAUCUGCUAAUGGGACAUUAAAACCAGCUGGGGAAAUCAUCUUUAUCUUUCCAUGAUCCACCCUUGAUCCAGGAGGUAUCUCCUGUUAAUGGGCCAGGUGUUAAACCAGGUGAGCAGUGAUCCUUAUCUCUGUGGGGAUAUCUCCUGUUAAUGGGUCAGGUGUUAAAAACCAGCUGGGCAAUCAUCUUUAUCUUCCCACAGCCCAUCCUCCCUCCAGGAGAUAUCUCCUGUUCAUGGCCACUGAGUCCCAGGGCAUGACUGAUAAAAUUCCAUCAUCCCACUGGGAGAUGCUCCAGCCAGGGGAGGAGCCAAACAUUUCCUACCCAGAUAAAAACUGAGAUUUUGGAACAGCAAGUUUCAUCUUUCCACUGGAUUCCAGAGGAAAACCAGAGCUUUCCACAUCAUCCCUGGAGCUUCAGAGGAAACUGCACCUUCUCCAGGAGCACUGCUCCAGCUGAACCACAUCUGCCCCUGCAGGAGGAUGCAGCCACCAUUGAAUGGGACUGUGCCAACACCCUGACUGACUGACGGGUGUCAGCUUGGAUUCUGACCCUGGCAGGGUUUGGGAUUGUUCUUUGUAAUACUGCAUUUCUAUUUUAAUUUUCCUGGUAAAGAACUGUUAUUCCUAAUUCCAUAUCUUUAGCUGGGAACCCCUUAAUUUCAAAAUUAUAUUAAUUUGGAGGGACGGGGUUUACAUUCUCCAUUUCAAAGAGGAGCUGCUGCCUUUAUUGGCAGACACCUGUCCUUAAACCAGGACACCCUGUUCCUUGGAGCAAUGAUCUCCACAUACAAUAGUCCAUAAAUCUCCCACCUUCUGGCCAGAGGCCACUCUCUUUGGAAAAGGACUAUAAAAAGUGACUUUCCUAAAGAGACUCUGGGAUCUCUUUCUCCCCAAGGGAUUGAAGACGUGUCUGUCAUCGGACAACUCAAGGAUGUGUCCCGUCUGUUGGUAGCUACAUCCCAUCCUCUCUCUUUCUCUCUCUCUCCUUUUUACCUCUUUCUCUCUCUCUCCUUCUAUCACCAA